GACGAACGCUGGCGGCGUGCUUAACACAUGCAAGUCGAACGGAAAGGCCUCUUUCGGGGGGUACUCGAGUGGCGAACGGGUGAGUAACACGUGAGUAGCCUGCCCUUGACUUUGGGUUAACUUCGGGAAACUGGGGCUAAUACCGGAUAGUCGCUCCUGCUGCAUGGUGGGGGCUGGAAAGUUUCGGCGGUUGGGGAUGGACUCGCGGCUUAUCCGCUUGUUGGUGGGGUAGUGGCUUACCAAGGCUUUGACGGGUAGCCGGCCUGAGAGGGUGACCGGCCACAUUGGGACUGAGAGACGGCCCAGACUCCGACGGGAGGCAGCAGUGGGGAAUAUUGCACAAUGGGUGGAAGCCUGAUGCAGCAACGCCGUGUGCGGGAUGACGGCCUUCGUGUUGUAAACCGCUUUCGCUCAUGACGAAGCUUUGUGUGACGGUAGUGGGUAAAGAAGCACCGGCUAACUACGUG
rnacentral:rRNA from 1 species